GACGAACGCUGGCGGUGUGCUUCACACAUGCAAGUCGAACGAGGUAGCAAUACCUAGUGGCGGACGGGUGAGUAACGCGUGGGAAUCUGCCCAUAGGUGGGGGAUAACUAGCCGAAAGGUUAGCUAAUACCGCAUAUGCCGAGAGGUAAAAGGAGUAAUCCGCCUUUGGAUGAGCCCGCGUCCGAUUAGCUAGUUGGUAGGGUAAAAAGCCUACCAAGGCUACGAUCGGUAGCUGGUCUGAGAGGAUGAUCAGCCACAAUGGGACUGAGACACGGCCCAUACUCCUACGGGAGGCAGCAGUGGGGAAUUUUACGCAAUGGGGGAAACCCUGACGUAGCGACACCGCGUGAACGAAGAAGCCCUUUGGGGUGUAAAGUUCUGUCGGCUGGAACGAAAAAAAUGACGGUACCAGCAAAGGAAGCAUCGGCUAACUAACGUGCCAGCAGCCGCGGUAA
rnacentral:rRNA from 1 species